CGUUGAGGGUUGCUGACUGAAGGCCACCCUGACUGCUGAGGGCUGCCUGCACCUUGUCACUCUGUUUGGUCAUCAAAGCCAUCAAGGGUCCUGGGCAUGUUAGACAAGACCACAAGACCCAUCUGUCAUGGCAUCUUGUUCCGCCAGUGGGCUGGCGAUGAUGGCUGCAUCCUAGGGGCGUGGCUUCAGGCUACUCUCCAGGCUGCUAGACAGACCGGAAAUCCCAGACCCCUGGCACAGGAGGACAGGAAAGUCCAGGGACAGCCUGAGCAAUCAAGCGUGACUCUGUCUCAAAAAUAAAAAAUAAGAAAUAAAAAGAUGGCUAGGACUAUAGCUUC